rnacentral:rRNA from 1 species
CGGAACGGGUGAGUAACGCGUGAGGAGCCUGCCUCAAAGAGGGGACAACAGUUGGAAACGACUGCUAAUACCGCAUAAGCCCACGGGUCGGCAUCGAUCUGAGGGAAAAGGAGUGAUCCGCUUUGAGAUGGCCUCGCGUCCGAUUAGCUAGUUGGUGAGGUAACGGCCCACCAAGGCGACGAUCGGUAGCCGGACUGAGAGGUUGAACGGCCACAUUGGGACUGAGACACGGCCCAG